GAUGAACGCUGGCGGCGUGCCUAAUACAUGCAAGUCGAGCGAACGGACGAGAAGCUUGCUCCUCUGAUGUUAGCGGCGGACGGGUGAGUAACACGUGGAUAACCUACCUAUAAGACUGGGAUAACUUCGGGAAACCGUAGCUAAUACCGGAUAAUAUUUUGAACCGCAUGGUUCAAAAGUGAAAGACGGUCUUGCUGUCACUUAUAGAUGGAUCCGCGCUGCAUUAGCUAGUUGGUAAGGUAACGGCUUACCAAGGCAACGAUGCAUAGCCGACCUGAGAGGGUGAUCGGCCACACUGGAACUGAGGCACGGUCCAGACUCCUACGGGAGGCAGCAGUAGGGAAUCUUCCGCAAUGGGCGAAAGCCUGACGGAGCAACGCCGCGUGAGUGAUGAAGGUCUUCGGAUCGUAAAACUCUGUUAUUAGGGAAGAACAUAUGUGUAAGUAACUGUGCACAUCUUGACGGUACCUAAUCAGAAAGCCACGGCUAACUACGUG
rnacentral:rRNA from 1 species